rnacentral:rRNA from 1 species
AUUGAACGCUGGCGGCAUGCUUUACACAUGCAAGUCGAACGGCAGCGCGGGCUUCGGCCUGGCGGCGAGUGGCGGACGGGUGAGUAAUACAUCGGAACGUGCCCAGUAGUGGGGGAUAGCUCGGCGAAAGCCGGAUUAAUACCGCAUACGACCUGAGGGUGAAAGCGGGGGAUCUUCGGACCUCGCGCUAUUGGAGCGGCCGAUGGCAGAUUAGCUAGUUGGUGGGGUAAAGGCCUACCAAGGCGACGAUCUGUAGCUGGUCUGAGAGGACGACCAGCCACACUGGGACUGAGACACGGCCCAGACUCCUACGGGAGGCAGCAGUGGGGAAUUUUGGACAAUGGGCGAAAGCCUGAUCCAGCAAUGCCGCGUGUGUGAUGAAGGCCUUCGGGUUGUAAAGCACUUUUGGCGGGAACGAAAAGGACUGUGCCAAUACCACGGUUCGAUGACGGUACCCGCAGAAGAAGCACCGGCGAACUACG